rnacentral:rRNA from 1 species
CCUACGGGAGGCUGCAGUGAGGAAUAUUGGUCAAUGGCCGAGAGGCUGAACCAGCCAAGUCGCGUGAGGGAAGACGGCCCUACGGGUUGUAAAACUCUUUUGUCGGGGAGCAAAGAGAGUCACGUGUGACUCCUUGAGAGUACCCGAAGAAAAAGCGUCGGCUAACUCCGUGCCAGCAGCCGCGGUAAUACGGAGGAUGCGAGCGUUAUCCGGAUUUAGUGGGUUAAAAGGGUGCGCAGGCGGAGGUGCAAGUCAGCGGUCAAAUUGCGGGGCUCAACCCCGUACUUCCGUUGAAACUGCAUCCCUUGAGUGCGCGAGAGGUAUGCGGAAUGCGUGGUGUAGCGGUGAAAUGCAUAGAUAUCACGCAGAACUCCGAUUGCGAAGGCAGCAUACCGGCGCGCAACUGACGCUCAUGCACGAAAGCGUGGGUAUCGAACAGGAUUAGAUACCCCGGUAGUC